GACGAACGCUGGCGGCGUGCUUAACACAUGCAAGUCGAACGGAAAGGCCCUGCUUUUGUGGGGUGCUCGAGUGGCGAACGGGUGAGUAACACGUGUGUAACCUGCCCUUGACUUUGGGAUAACUUCAGGAAACUGGGGCUAAUACCGGAUAGGAGCUCCUGCUGCAUGGUGGGGGUUGGAAAGUUUCGGCGGUUGGGGAUGGACUCGCGGCUUAUCAGCUUGUUGGUGGGGUAGUGGCUUACCAAGGCUUUGACGGGUAGCCGGCCUGAGAGGGUGACCGACCACAUUGGGACUGAGAUACGGCCCAGACUCCUACGGGAGGCAGCAGUGGGGAAUAUUGCACAAUGGGCGGAAGCCUGAUGCAGCAACGCCGCGUGCGGGAUGACGGCCUUCGGGUUGUAAACCGCUUUCGCCUGUGACGAAGCGUGAGUGACGGUAAUGGGUAAAGAAGCACCGGCUAACUACGUG
rnacentral:rRNA from 1 species